rnacentral:rRNA from 1 species
UACAGAGGUCCCAAGCGUUGUUCGGAUUCAUUGGGCGUAAAGGGUGCGUAGGUGGCGCGCUAAGUCAGGUGUGAAAUUUCGGAGCUCAACUCCGAAACUGCAUUUGAUACUGGCGUGCUUGAGGACUGGAGAGGAGACUGGAAUUCACGGUGUAGCAGUGAAAUGCGUAGAGAUCGUGAGGAAGACCAGUGGCGAAGGCGGGUCUCUGGACAGUUCCUGACACUGAGGCACGAAGGCCAGGGGAGCAAACGGG